GACGAACGCUGGCGGCGUGCCUAAUACAUGCAAGUUGAGCGCUGAAGGUUGGUACUUGUACCAACUGGAUGAGCAGCGAACGGGUGAGUAACGCGUGGGGAAUCUGCCUUUGAGCGGGGGACAACAUUUGGAAACGAAUGCUAAUACCGCAUAAAAACUUUAAACACAAGUUUUAAGGUUGAAAGAUGCAAUUGCAUCACUCAAAGAUGAUCCCGCGUUGUAUUAGCUAGUUGGUGAGGUAAAGGCUCACCAAGGCGAGGAUACAUAGCCGACCUGAGAGGGUGAGCGGCCACAUUGGGACGGAGACACGGCCCAAACUCCUACGGGAGGCAGCAGUAGGGAAUCUUCGGCAAUGGACGAAAGUCUGACCGAGCAACGCCGAGGGAGUGAAGAAGGAUGUCGGAUCGUAAAACUCUGUUGGUAGAGAAGAACGUUGGUGAGAGUGGAAAGCUCAUCAAGUGACGGUAACUACCCAGAAAGGGACGGCUAACUACGUG
rnacentral:rRNA from 1 species